rnacentral:rRNA from 1 species
AAAAGCUCGUAAUCCAAUCUGUGUCCCGCGCCGCCAGUUCAUCGCUCGCGGUGUUUAACUGGCGUGUCCGCGGGACGUCCUGCCGGUGGGCUUAGCCCCCCAAAGGGCGGCCCAACUUCAAAUCCCACCGCGGUGCUCUUCACUGAGUGUCGAGGUGGGCCGGCACGUUUACUUUGAACAGAAUUAUAGUGCUUAAAGCAGGCUAAAACUUCGCCUGAAUACUGUGCUGCAUGGAAUAAUGGAAUAGGACCUCGGUUCUAUUUUGUUGGUUUUCGGAACCCCGAGGUAAUGAUUAAUAGGAACGGAUGGGGGCAUUCGUAUUGCGACGUUAGAGGUGAAAUUCUGGAAUUCGCCGCAAGACGGACAGAAGCGAAAGCAUUUGCCAAAAACGCUUUCAUUGAUCAAGAACGAAAGUUAGAGGUUCGAAGGCGAUCAGAUACCGCCCUAGUUCUAACCAUAAACGAUGCCAGCUAGCGAUCCGCCGACGUUCCUCCGAUGACUCGGCGGGCAGCUUCCGGGAAACCAAAGCUUUUGGGUUCCGGGGGAAGUAUGGUUGCAAAGCUGAAACU